GCUUUGAAACCCCGGUUCUUGUACGAUCACCGAAGUUAAGCAACGUCGAGCUUGUUCAGUAACUAGAUGAGGGACCUCUCGGGAAUAGCAGGUGCUGUAA